GACAGAGGUGCCGAGCGUUAGGCGGAAUCACUGGGCUUAAAGCGUGUGUAGGCGGAUUGGUAAGUACCUUGUGAAAUCCCACGGCUUAACCGUGGAACUGCUUGGUAUACUGCUUAUCUUGGGCCACUUAGGGGUUACCGGAACAAACGGUGGAGCGGUGAAAUGCGUAGAUAUCGUUUGGAACGCCAAUGGUGAAAACAGGUAACUGGGAGUGUGCCGACGCUGAGACACGAAAGCCAGGGGAGCGAACGGG
rnacentral:rRNA from 1 species